GAUGAACGCUGGCGGCGUGCCUAAUACAUGCAAGUCGAGCGAACAGACGAGGAGCUUGCCCCUCUGCCGUUAGCGGCGGACGGGGGAGUAACACGUGGAUAACCUACCUAUAAGACGGGGAUAAUUUCGGGAAACCGGAGCUAAUACCGGAUAAUAUAUUGAACCGCAUGGUUCAAUUGAGAAAGACGGUUUUGCUGUCACUUAUAGAUGGAUCCGCGCCGCAUUAGCUAGUUGGUAAGGUAACGGCUUACCAAGGCAACGAUGCGUAGCCGACCUGAGAGGGUGGUCGGCCACACUGGACCUGAGACACGGUCCAGACUCCUACGGGAGGCAGCAGUAGGGAAUCUUCCGCAAUGGGCGAAAGCCUGGCGGAGCAACGCCGCGUGAGUGAUGAAGGUCUUCGGAUCGUAAAACUCUGUUAUUAGGGAAGAACAAAUGUGUAAGUAACUAUGCACGUCUUGACGGUACCUAAUCAGAAAGCCACGGCUAACUACGUG
rnacentral:rRNA from 1 species